UACGUAGGGUGCAAGCGUUGUCCGGAAUUAUUGGGCGUAAAGAGCUCGUAGGCGGUUUGUCGCGUCUGCUGUGAAAACUCGGGGCUUAACUCCGGGCCUGCAGUGGGUACGGGCAGACUAGAGUGCGGUAGGGGAGACUGGAAUUCCUGGUGUAGCGGUGAAAUGCGUAGAGAUCGGCAGGAACACCCAGGGGGAAACCAGUCGACUGGGCAUCUACUGACGCUGAGGUGCGAGAGCGUGGGGAGCGAACCGG
rnacentral:rRNA from 1 species